CCUACGGGAGGCAGCAGUGAGGAAUAUUGGUCAAUGGACGAGAGUCUGAACCAGCCAAGUAGCGUGAAGGAUGACUGCCCUAUGGGUUGUAAACUUCUUUUAUAUGGGAAUAAAAUGUUCCACGUGUGGGAUUUUGUAUGUACCAUAUGAAUAAGGAUCGGCUAACUCCGUGCCAGCAGCCGCGGUAAUACGGAGGAUCCGAGCGUUAUCCGGAUUUAUUGGGUUUAAAGGGAGCGUAGGUGGAUUGUUAAGUUAGUUGUGAAAGUUUGCGGCUCAACCGUGAAAUUGCAGUUGAUACUGGCAGUCUUGAGUACAGUAGAGGUGGGCGGAAUGCGUGGUGUAGCGGUGAAAUGCUUAGAUAUCACGAAGAACUCCGAUUGCGAAGGCAGCUCACUGGACUGCAACUGACACUGAGGCUCGAAAGUGUGGGGAUCAAACAGGAUUAGAUACCCCAGUAGUC
rnacentral:rRNA from 1 species